AGGCAGGGGCUCGCCGGGAACGUGGCGUUCACCCGCGCUUCCGAAGUGCCUCUGCUAAGUGAGCCACGGAGGGGAGGAGCAGUCCCCGGGCUGAACGAGGCCUGGGGCCAAGUGCAUCCAGGGCGGAGGGUGGCGGGAAGCUGUCUGUGCCUGAGGACUCACUUUUUAGGUGCUUGUUUUGGAACAUUGCACAAACGCGGGUGCAAACCCCAAGCUCACCAGCGUGAGUCAGCGGGGCCGGCAGCAGGAGGAGAGGGAAAGGUGGGCGAGGAGGGCGCCGCGCACCCCGAGGCCCGCGCGGGCAGCGGGAAGGACCCGGUGGCGACAAGGGACACCCCUAGCGGCGGCCCCUUCCCCAGCCCUACAGGUGAGCGCGGGCCCGCCGCGGGGCGGAGCGCGCCGUCCCUACUGGCCACCCUCCCGGCGCCACCACCACCGCCGCAGCUGCAGUCAAUGGAAUGCCAGCUGGCUAGGGAAGGGGAACAAUGGCACUGGAUGUGAUCACCUGUAGUGUGUAGACAAAGGUAGGUCCAGGGACUUAGGGAAGCCAUUUGGGAUGGGACAUAUGUGUAUAAAAGUAUAUACUUAUAUGUAUGUGUAUAUCUAUAUAUCUAUAUCUGUAUGCUUUUUUUAAGUUUAUUUAUUUAUUUGGGGCAGGGAAGGAGAAGUGGGGGAGGGAGAGAGAGAAUCCCAAGCAGGCUCCACACCAUCAGCACAGACUCUGAUGCAGGGCUUCAACUCACGAACUGUGAGAUCAUGACCUGAGCCGAAAUCAAGAGUCAGAUGCUUAACCGACUGAGCCACCUGGGCUCAGUGUAUUUUGUAUGGCUUCAUGUAUAUUUUGGAUGGCUUCAGUUUACUUGCCUUGACCAUGGUCGACUAGUUUAAAUUGAACUCAGAGCUCUGAAGUGAGGUAUAACCUUAUACACCUUCAAAUCAUGAUAGUUUGUUUUGAAAGUAAAUUACAAAAUCAGAAUGGGCAUCAGCUGACCUCUAAUCUAUAGCUCAUUCAAUCCUCACAACCACCUAUGAGAUUUUUGAAAAUGUUGGCUUAUUUGAAUAUUGAUUUUUUUAAGAAAACAGACUUCGUGUUUUUGAGCAAUUUUAGGUUCAUAGCAAAACUGAGCGGUAAGCACUGAGUUCUCAUAUAUCCCCUGCCCCCACAGGCACAGCCUUCCCCACUGUCAACAUCUGGAACCAGAGUGGUUCAUUUGUUACAACUGAUGAACCUACAUUGAUACAUUAUUAUCAUCCAAAGUCCAUUAGACUACAUUGGCGUUUGCUUUUGGUGUUUUACAUUCUGUGGGUUUGAACAAAUGCAUAAUGAUGUGUAUCCACCAUUAGAAUAUCACACAGAACAGUUUCACUGCCCUAAAGAUCCUCUGUGCUCUGCUUAUUCAUCCUUCCCUCCCCCUAAACUCUGGCAAUCACUGAUAUUUUUAUUGUCUCCAUAGUUUUGCCCUUUCCAGAAUGUCAAAUAGUUGGAAUCAUACAGGAUGCAUGUAACGUUUUCAGAUUGGCUUCUUUCGCUUGGUAAUAUGCAUGGCAGUUUCCCCCAUGUAUUUUCAUGGCAUGAUAGUUCAUUCCUUUUUUUUUUUUUUUUAAUUUUUUUUUUCAACGUUUAUUUAUUUUUUGGGGGACAGAGAGAGACAGAGCAUGAACGGGGGAGGGGCAGAGAGAGAGGGAGACACAGAAUCAGAAACAGGCUCCAGGCUCUGAGCCAUCAGCCCAGAGCCUGAUGUGGGGCUCGAACUCACGGACCGCGAGAUCGUGACCUGGCUGAAGUCGGACGCUUAACCAACUGCGCCACCCAGGUGCCCCUAGUUCAUUCCUUUUUAGUGCUGAAUAAUGCUCCAAGGAACUGCUAUUUUUUUUUUAAGUUUAUUUAUUUAUUUGUGGGGGUGGGGGGAGUGGAGAGAGAGGGAGAGAGCAUCCCAAGCAGCCUCCAUGUUGUCAGUGCAGAGCCUGAUGUGGGGCUCGAUCUCACAAAAACGUGAGAUCAUGACUUGAGCUGAAGCCAAGAAUUGGAUGCUUAACUGACUGAGCCACUCGGGCGCCCUGGGACCAGUAUCUUUUAUCCUAUUUCACAGAUAAAGAAACAGGCACAGAGGGGAUUAGUAACUUGCCCAGAUACAAUCAGUACAGAUCAGUUUGAUUAUAGGUCCUUGUCUCUUCUGGGGCAGGUGGGUGGCUCAGUUGGUUAAUUGUCCGACUUCGGCUCAGGUCAUGAUCUCGUGGUUCAUGAGCUUGGGCCCUGCGUCAGGCUGUGUGCUGACAGCUCAAGGCCUGGAACCUGCUUUGGAUUCUGUGUCUCCCUCUCUUUGCUUUCCCCUCCCCCUCCCGCUCCGUCUCUCUCUCUCUCUCUCUCUCUCUCUCUCUCUCUCUCUCUGAAAAAUAAAUAAACCUUAAGCAAAAAUUUUACCA
rnacentral:lncRNA from 1 species